GGAAUAUUGGACAAUGGGGGCAACCCUGAUCCAGCAAUGCCGCGUGUGUGAAGAAGGCCUGCGGGUUGUAAAGCACUUUCAGCGAGGAGGAAGGGUUGGUAGUUAAUAGCUGCUAAUUUUGACGUUACUCGCAGAAGAAGCACCGGCUAACUCCGUGCCAGCAGCCGCGGUAAUACGGAGGGUGCAAGCGUUAAUCGGAAUUACUGGGCGUAAAGCGCACGCAGGCGGCUUUUUAAGUCGGAUGGGAAAGCCCCGGGCUCAACCUGGGAAUUGCAUUCGAUACUGGGGAGCUAGAGUAUGUGAGAGGGGGGUAGAAUUCCAAGUGUAGCGGUGAAAUGCGUAGAGAUUUGGAGGAAUACCAGUGGCGAAGGCGGCCCCCUGGCACAAUACUGACGCUCAGGUGCGAAAGCGUGGGGAGCAAA
rnacentral:rRNA from 1 species